GCGAUAAGCGCUCUCACGUCCCCCUCCCGGGCGGGGCUCGGCAAAUACCCCCGCCCCGCCCCGCCGCGCCCCGCAGGAGCCUCCUCCUCCCGCCCUCGCGGCGCCUGUGCCUGGGUCCCGGCGACCCUCCUCAGGGCCACCGAAAGGUCUGGGGGCUUGGGGCGGGGGAGGGGGGGCCUGUCCGAGUCCGUGGGAGCCUCUCUGGCCCCGCAGUCCCAGCAGCAAACUGCGCUUGGUCGGACGGAUGCCCGCGCGGAGGUGUUUUGCCUGCUGGUACAUCUGUGCAUCACGUGUGAGUGCCUGAUGCCCUCCCAAGCCAGAAGAGGGCAUCGGAUCUCUGGGAAGUGGAGCUGUACAGACUAAAGUGGGCUGCCAUGUGGAUGUAGGAAUCAAACCUGGAUCUUUUGAAAAAGCAGACAGUGCUUUUAACCACUGGAUCAUUCUCUAGCUAAAAAAUAAAUAAAACCAACAG
rnacentral:lncRNA from 1 species